AACCUGGUUGAUCUUGCCAGUAGUCAUAUGCUUGUCUCAAAGAUUAAGCCAUGCAAGUGAAAGUAUAUGCAUAUUUUAUAUGUAGAAACUGCGAACGGCUCAUUAAAACAGUUAUAAUCUACUUGACAUUUCUACUUACAAGGAUAACUACGGAAAAGCUGUAGCUAAUACUUGCUUUAAUGCGUUUGAUUCAUUUUUGUGUCUUACGUAUGUACUUGUUAAGCCUUCAAGAGAAAAGUUUACAACUUAAGGAAUUAUAACAAAGAAGUAACACAUAAUAAGUUUACCUUAUUUAGUGUGUAUCAAUCGAGUUUCUGACCUAUCAGCUUUUG
rnacentral:ncRNA from 1 species